rnacentral:lncRNA from 1 species
CUGGGUGAUGAAUCAAAGUGGCAGCGAAGCCUGAGAGCACACAGCCCACCAGGAAGAAACCACACCUCCAGGUCGGCCAGGCCGGCGUCCGCGUGGAUCGAAAGUGACCCGGAGCCAAGGUCAGUGGGCCACAUCCAAGUCCUCCCAGAGGGAAACAAGGCUCUGACUGCGGCGCCCAGCGAGGCCUCCAGCAUCGCUCCAGACACCAGGCAGGACACAUCGCUCCUCGCCCCGUCAUCCUCCUUCUCCGGCCAAAUGACAGACUUUGUCCACCCCUGUCCUGAAAGACGACUCAGAUUUCCGGGCCAGUCCAAGGGCGCAGAGAGCAAAGGAGCCACAGAGCAGCGGCGACCCCUCCUCCCAAGACCCCAGGAAACUUUCCCGGCGGGCGCGGAGCUCCGGAAGCUGCAGGCCGGAGGGAGGCGGGAACUGCACCUAGGUCUCAGGCUGUACAGUCCCCGCCUGGCCUCCCCGGGGAGCGAAGACUAAGCAGGGCGCAAGUUUACUUUCCAAGUUAUUGGGUGGCACUUUAAAACUUUUAUCCUUUUCGGACAAAUUAAUGAGCAAUUUAAUUAAUAAAAUCAGAGUAGUGUAAGUGCUAUGAUAAUGAAGUUAAAUGAGUGCACAGUAAAAUAUUCACUAAUCCAGCGCAUUGCCAAAUACCCCCUAAUUCUGCUUAACACUAGAAGGG